GACGAACGCUGGCGGCGUGCUUAACACAUGCAAGUCGAACGGAAAGGCCCUGCUUUUGUGGGGUGCUCGAGUGGCGAACGGGUGAGUAACACGUGAGUAACCUGCCCUUGACUUUGGGAUAACUUCAGGAAACUGGGGCUAAUACCGGAUAGGAGCUCCUGCUGCAUGGUGGGGGUUGGAAAGUUUCGGCGGUUGGGGAUGGACUCGCGGCUUAUCAGCUUGUUGGUGGGGUAGUGGCUUACCAAGGCUUUGACGGGUAGCCGGCCUGAGCGGGGGACCGGCCACAUUGGGACUGAGAUACGGCCCAGACUCCUACGGGAGGCAGCAGUGGGGAAUAUUGUACAAUGGGCGGAAGCCUGAUGCAGCAACGCCGCGUGCGGGAUGACGGCCUUCGGGUUGUAAACCGAUUUCGCCUGUGACGAAGCGUGAGUGACGGUAAUGGGUAAAGAAGCACCGGCUAACUACGUG
rnacentral:rRNA from 1 species